AAGUGAUCUUACCACUGUCAGGUUGAAGCUUGAGUAAAAAUCAAGUGGAGGACCGAACCUAGUUUGAUGAAAAAAGCAGGGAUGAAUGGUGGUAAGGGGUGAAAGGCUAAUCAAACUUGGAAAUAGCUGGCACUCCCCGAAAUGCCUUGAGGGACAGCCUCGUACAAAUGCUUAGGGGGUAGAGCACUGUGUGGACUAGGGGCCUUCACCGGCUACCAAACCCAUGCAAACUCCGAAUACCUAAGCACAACGUACGGGAGUGAGACUGUGUGCGAUAAGGUUCAUAGUCGAGAGGGAAACAGCCCAGACCGACAGCUAAGGUCCCAAAAUACCGCUGAGUGUGAAAUGAUGUGCGGUUGCCCAGACAGCCAGGAGGUUGGCUUAGAAGCAGCCACUCCUUUAAAGAGUGCGUAAUAGCUCACUGGUCGAGCAAUCGUGCGCAAACAAUGUAACGGGGCUAAGCGGUAUACCGAAGCUUCGGAUUCGUAUCGCAAGGUACGGAUGGUAGGGGAG
rnacentral:rRNA from 1 species